GAGAGAGAGAGAUAGAGAGAGAGAUGGAUCCAAAGUUAGCGGAGGUCUCGCAGCUAUUCGAGCGAUUCAAAGCGGCGUGUGCCCGAGAGGAUGUCGACACUUGCUGCAAUGUGCCUUCUAAGCUCAAGGUCUUAUUGACAGGAUUUUCUAGCCUGCCACCGUUGUUUGAAGAUACGCCUAAUGCUAUUCAUGAGUUGACAUUAGCAAGGGAUAUAUAUGAGCAUGCUGUUCUUCUAAGUGUGAAGAUUGGGGAUCAGGAUGCCUUUGAAAGGGAUUUCUUUCAGUUGAAGCCAUAUUAUACAGAUGCCAGUGGCCGUCUUCCCCCAUCUUCCCAGGAGUACAUGAUCUUAGGUCUCAACCUCUUGAGACUCCUAGUGCAGAAUAGAAUUGCUGAAUUCCAUACUGAGCUGGAACUGCUUUCAUCCACUGCUUUGGAAAAUCCUUGCAUCAAGCAUGCUGUGGAGUUGGAGCAAUCAUUCAUGGAAGGGGCUUACAACCGUGUGCUGAGUGCAAAACAAACUGUGCCAUGCAAAACCUAUGAUUAUUUCAUGGAUCUUUUGGCAAAGACAGUAAGGGAUGAAAUAGCUGGAUGCAGUGAGAAGGCAUAUGACUAUCUUUCAGUUAGUGAUGCCCGCCAAAUGUUGCUCUUCUCUUCUGAUAAUGAACUUCUGCAGUACAUCAAGGAGGUAUCUAGUUCUAGCUAUUUCUCUAACAUAUCUGAGGGAUUGAAAUUCAAGUGGUAAUAUGUUUCCUCAUUGAGUUUUAUAAAUAUAUGAAUUGAGUUGUUGAACUGUCUUUGGCGCCUCAGCUCCUGCUACCAGUCCUGUAUGAGUCUUUGUGAUGUUGCAAGCUUCCAGUGGCUUUGGCUGGGCAAGCCUUUGGCAUUUGAGAUAUAUUACGGAAAGGGAAAUAAGCUCUAGGGCACACUUGUACUCUAAUUUAUAACAAAGCAUGGAUAACUCUUGGUUCCCUCGUUUUACUCUUCUGGUUCUUACAUUCACUGGGAACAGAAAUGUGACAUAUUCUAUUGUACAAUGCAGGAGCACCCCGAGUGGGAGAUAAAGACUGGUCAAGUAAUUUUCCAGAAGGCAAAAGAAUCUGCCUCUUGCAAGGAAAUACCUUCUCUACAACUUAUUAACCAGACUCUGAGUUACGCAAGAGAGUUGGAGCGAAUUGUGUAGAGUUGAAACUGAUGGCUAUGGUCGCAAAACUCCAAUUGAAAAUUGUUCUGAGGAUAAAGAUAUUAUCUUCUUGCAUUUUAAUUUGGUCACUCCAGUAACAAAAUUUGAUCAUUAUGGCAACUUUCCCCCUCUUUCCCGGUAAUUCUGUCUUCAUUUUUAAUGCUGGCGAGGAUCUUGUACUUUCAAACUAAACUUUAGAGUGCAAUAUUUCGCACUGGUAGAGGGUCAAAAUUUUAUGAUGACUUCUUGAUUAUAGAAUUGGGCUGGUUAAUAUAUGGCCAUAAUUCUUUCUGAGUUUCACUAAAAUUGUCAUGGAUUUGAGGUGUGGUUCAUUUCCG
rnacentral:misc_RNA from 1 species